rnacentral:rRNA from 1 species
GAUGAACGCUGGCGGCGUGCCUAAUACAUGCAAGUCGAGCGAACGGACGAGAAGCUUGCUUCUCUGAUGUUAGCGGCGGACGGGUGAGUAACACGUGGAUAACCUACCUAUAAGACUGGGAUAACUUCGGGAAACCGGAGCUAAUACCGGAUAAUAUUUUGAACCGCAUGGUUCAAAAGUGAAAGACGGUCUUGCUGUCACUUAUAGAUGGAUCCGCGCUGCAUUAGCUAGUUGGUAAGGUAACGGCUUACCAAGGCAACGAUGCAUAGCCGACCUGAGAGGGUGAUCGGCCACACUGGAACUGAGACACGGUCCAGACUCCUACGGGAGGCAGCAGUAGGGAAUCUUCCGCAAUGGGCGAAAGCCUGACGGAGCAACGCCGCGUGAGUGAUGAAGGUCUUCGGAUCGUAAGCUCUAUUAUUAGGGAAGAACAUAUGUGUAAGUAACUGUGCACAUCUUGACGGUACCUAAUCAGAAAGCCACGGCUAACUACGUGCCAGCAGCCGCGGUAAUACGUAGGUGGCAAGCGUUAUCCGGAAUUAUUGGGCGUNAAGCGCGCGUAGGCGGUUUUUUAAGUCUGAUGUGAAAGCCCACGGCUCAACCGUGGAGGGUCAUUGGAAACUGGAAAACUUGAGUGCAGAAGAGGAAAGUGGAAUUCCAUGUGUAGCGGUGAAAUGCGCAGAGAUAUGGAGGAACACCAGUGGCGAAGGCGACUUUCUGGUCUGUAACUGACGCUGAUGUGCGAAAGCGUGGGGAUCAAACAGGAUUAGAUACCCUGGUAGUCCACGCCGUAAACGAUGAGUGCUAAGUGUUAGGGGGUUUCCGCCCCUUAGUGCUGCAGCUAACGCAUUAAGCACUCCGCCUGGGGAGUACGACCGCAAGGUUGAAACUCAAAGGAAUUGACGGGGACCCGCACAAGCGGUGGAGCAUGCGGUUUAAUUCGAAGCAACGCGAAGAACCUUACCAAAUCUUGACAUCCUUUGACAACUCUAGAGAUAGAACCUUCCCCUUCGGGGGACAAAGUGACAGGUGGUGCAUGGUUGUCGUCAGCUCGUGUCGUGAGAUGUUGGGUUAAGUCCCGCAACGAGCGCAACCCUUAAGCUUAGUUGCCAUCAUUAAGUUGGGCACUCUAAGUUGACUGCCGGUGACAAACCGGAGGAAGGUGGGGAUGACGUCAAAUCAUCAUGCCCCUUAUGAUUUGGGCUACACACGUGCUACAAUGGACAAUACAAAGGGCAGCGAAACCGCGAGGUCAAGCAAAUCCCAUAAAGUUGUUCUCAGUUCGGAUUGUAGUCUGCAACUCGACUACAUGAAGCUGGAAUCGCUAGUAAUCGUAGAUCAGCAUGCUACGGUGAAUACGUUCCCGGGUCU